rnacentral:lncRNA from 1 species
AUGCUAACAGAAUGGGCCCCAGGGGAGACGUUCACUGUGUCUGACAGGUUCAGUUUGGCACCCACCACUUGGAUGAUCCACCAGGAGAGGAGCACGUCACAGGGAGCCACUGUCACCGCAGUGGAAGAACACAUGGAAAACAGACCUGAAUCCCACCUGGAACACGGAGCUGAGCCAGCCUGUGGACCUAUCUUCCAGCAGAAGUAGCUGCCCCCAGAUACAUCUGUAACAAAUAUCUCUACUAGGGCCUCUCUGUGCUCAUCAGGCCCCAGCAGCGCUGGACAUCACAUGUGCUUAGGUGCCAAAAGACAGGGCGGAAUCAACAGUCUAGGUCCUCAAGAGGCUCAGAGAGCAAGGGGGUCUGGACCAACAGGGAUGACUUCCCGGAAGGGAUGGGCCUCGGUAAUAAGAUUUCCCAUGGGGAAAUAGCGUACAGUGUACAAGGACUUCUCGUGGACAGACAGACGGAGUCACACGAAUUCUCACAAUAACCAUGUGGGGUGAGGAGCAAUCAUUCCCAUUUACAAUUUAAACAACAAAGGCCCA